AACGAACGCUGGCGGCAGGCCUAACACAUGCCAGUCGAGCGCGCCCUUCGGGAUGAGCGGCGGACGGGUGAGUAACGCGUGGGAACGUUCCCUUUUCUACGGAAUAGCCUCGGGAAACUGAGAGUAAUACCGUAUACGUCCUUUGGGGGAAAGAUUUAUCGGAAAAGGAUCGGCCCGCGUUGGACUAGGUAGUUGGUGGGGUAAUGGCCUACCAAGCCGACGAUCCAUAGCUGGUUUGAGAGGAUGAUCAGCCACACUGAGGCUGAGACACGGCCCAGACUCCUGCGGGAGGCAGCAGUGGGGAAUCUUGGAAAAUGGGGGCGAUGCUGAUCGAGCCAUGGCGCGUGAGUGAUGAAGGCCUUAGAGUUGUAAAGCUCUUUCAGCUGGGAAGAUAAUGACGGUACCAGCAGAAGAAGCCCCGGCUAACUCCGUG
rnacentral:rRNA from 1 species